GACGAACGCUGGCGGCGUGCCUAAUACAUGCAAGUAGAACGCUGAAGCUUGGUGCUUGCACCGAGCGGAUGAGUUGCGAACGGGUGAGUAACGCGUAGGUAAUCUGCCUGGUAGCGGGGGAUAACUAUUGGAAACGAUAGCUAAUACCGCAUAAGAGAAGAUGUUGCAUGACAUUUGCUUAAAAGGUGCAAUUGCAUCACUAACAGAUGGACCUGCGUUGUAUUAGCUAGUUGGUGAGGUAACGGCUCACCAAGGCAAGGGUACAUAGCCGACCUGAGAGGGUGGUCAGCCACACUGAGACUGAGACACGGCCCAUACGCCUACGGGAGGCAGCAGUAGGGAAUCUUCAGCAAGCGACGGAAGUCUGACCGAGAAACGCCGCGGGAGUGAAGAAGGUUGUCGGAUCGUAAAGCUCUGUUGUAAGAGAAGAACGAGUGUGAGAGUGGAAAGUUCACACAGUGACGGUAACUUACCAGAAAGGAACGGCUAACUACGUG
rnacentral:rRNA from 1 species